UACAGAGGUCCCAAGCGUUGUUCGGAUUCACUGGGCGUAAAGGGUGCGUAGGUGGUGAGGUAAGUUUGAUGUGAAAGCUCCGGGCUUAACCCGGAAAUGGCAUUGAAUACUAUCUCGCUUGAGGGUUGGAGGGGAGACUGGAAUUCUUGGUGUAGCAGUGAAAUGCGUAGAUAUCAGGAGGAACACCGGUGGCGAAGGCGGGUCUCUGGGCAGUAACUGACGCUGGAGGAGCGAAAGCGUGGGGAGCGAACAGG
rnacentral:rRNA from 1 species